CCUACGGGGGGCUGCAGUGGGGAAUAUUGGACAAUGGGCGAAAGCCUGAUCCAGCCAUGCCGCGUGUGUGAAGAAGGCCUUCGGGUUGUAAAGCACUUUCAGUGGGGAAGAAAGCCUUGGGGCUAAUACCCUCGAGGAAGGACAUCACCCACAGAAGAAGCACCGGCUAACUCCGUGCCAGCAGCCGCGGUAAUACGGGGGGUGCGAGCGUUAAUCGGAAUUACUGGGCGUAAAGCGCGCGUAGGCGGUCUGAUAAGCCGGUUGUGAAAGCCCCGGGCUCAACCUGGGAACGGCAUCCGGAACUGUCAGGCUAGAGUGCAGGAGAGGAAGGUAGAAUUCCCGGUGUAGCGGUGAAAUGCGUAGAGAGCGGGAGGAAUACCAGUGGCGAAGGCGGCCUUCUGGACUGACACUGACGCUGAGGUGCGAAAGCGUGGGUAGCAAACAGGAUUAGAUACCCGAGUAGUC
rnacentral:rRNA from 1 species